rnacentral:rRNA from 1 species
UGGGGAAUUUUCCGCAAUGGGCGCAAGCCUGACGGAGCAAUACCGCGUGAGGGAGGAAGGCUCUUGGGUCGUAAACCUCUUUUCUCAGGGAAGAACACAAUGACGGUACCUGAGGAAUCAGCAUCGGCUAACUCCGUGCCAGCAGCCGCGGUAAUACGGAGGAUGCAAGCGUUAUCCGGAAUGAUUGGGCGUAAAGCGUCCGUAGGUGGUUUUGUAAGUCUGUGGUUAAAGCGUGGGGCUCAACCCCAUAAGGGCCAUGGAAACUACAAGACUUGAGUAAAGUAGGGGUAGAGGGAAUUCCCAGUGUAGCGGUGAAAUGCGUAGAGAUUGGGAAGAACACCGGUGGCGAAAGCGCUCUACUGGACUUAAACUGACACUGAGGGACGAAAGCUAGGGGAGCGAAAGGGAUUAGAUACCCCUGUAGUC